GACGGACGCUGGCGGCGUGCUUAACACAUGCAAGUCGAACGGAAAGGCCCUGCUUUUGUGGGGUGCUCGAGUGGCGAACGGGUGAGUAACACGUGAGUAACCUGCCCUUGACUUUGGGAUAACUUCAGGAAACUGGGGCUAAUACCGGAUAGGAGCUCCUGCUGCAUGGUGGGGGUUGGUAAGUUUCGGCGGUUGUGGAUGGACUCGCGGCUUAUCAGCUUGUUUGUGGGGUAGUGGCUUACCAAGGCUUUGACGGGUAGCCGGCCUGAGAGGGUGACCGGCCACAUUGGGACUGAGAUACGGCCCAGACUCCUACGGGAGGCAGCAGUGGGGAAUAUUGCACAAUGGGCGGAAGCCUGAUGCAGCAACGCCGCGUGCGGGAUGACGGCCUUCGGGUUGUAAACCGCUUUCGCCUGUGACGAAGCGUGAGUGACGGUAAUGGGUAAAGAAGCACCGGCUAACUACGUG
rnacentral:rRNA from 1 species